GUAUCCUACUUAGCCAGUUCGGGAAACAAAGAGUUACAGGGCCGGUAACUUUUCCUUCCCACCUUCUUUGAUUGCAGAUCAGCUGCAAGCAGUAUGGCAAAGGCAAAACGAGAGAAGCCUGGUGUGUGUGGCGGGGAGACCAGUGUGCUAUUCUGGGUUAUGUUUAAGAAAUGAGAUUAAUUCGGGACUUUGUUAUUAGAGUUGUCAGAAGGCAUUUGUCAAGGCAUCAUGAUAGGGGCUUUCCCUUCCAGCCGGGUUUCUGUGUACAGCAUACCAGCUCCAUAUGACUCUGAGCAGACUGCAAGGCAGGAAAGUCCGUGUACUCGCUACUGCCCAUCCUACCUAGAAGGCUUGUAUCAGAAGUACUGUUUUUUCAACUGGAUAAGGCUGUGUUCCUGGAAGAGAUGGCUUCUAGGAAUAUUACCUAUAAGUUCUUUAAUAGUGACGGUAAUCGUGCUAGUCCUGCACUAUUCCUUCUGUAAGUGUAACUCCCCAGUAUAGUCUGGAUGGGAUGUUUUUUCUUGCACUGUGUGAAUGAUUAGUAUGAAAAGUUCUGCACUAAGCAGCUAAGCAUGUACCGUGUGUAUAAACUACUGACUUUGCCUUCUCCUUAAUGUCCUUGCUAAAGCAAUAAAAUGCAUAAUAACUAGCAGUUGGUAGUUGCACAAGAAUAAUGAAGGUAUUUAUUUUAUGUCUAAAUUUUUUAUCUCUGCUUGUGAAUAACCAUCAUUAUUAUAACUGUCAUCUUUCCUAAGAACCUACAGGAAUUAACUGUCUACCUUCUAUUCACUUCCCCAAAAGAGGAUGGCUACUUAACUUAUGUACGUUCCUUCCCAGAUCUCAACAAAUAGCCAUUAUAACAGUAUCUCUUUAGGAGGGUAGUGCUGCAAAAAAAUGGAAGUUUAACCACUAAGCUUCCUAGUAAAAAUGAUUGUUUGAACCUGUACCUCAUUCCUCUCCCUUCCUUCUGGGCAUUAUUUUGUUAAUGGGACUGACACAGCAUUCUGGCUGUUACUGCAUAUUUCUCGUAGGAACUAAUAUUUACAGAUGGCAAGGACAAAUACAUGCUUCUACAAACUUCUUGUUCCAGAAGCUUUUCUGUAAUGUUUUCAGGUGUGCUAAUUUUUUUUAUCCUUUUUUGUCAGCUCCAGCUUUUUCUUUUAUUUAUAUUGGUGGAAGUGUAGAAAUUCCAAAUCUGACUUAUACAAAUGAUCUCAAUGAUCCAAAGUCACAGAAGUUCCUCCUGCAAGCAGAAGCAAUCCAAAAUUAUUUUGCAGAAACAUAUGAGUCUUCCUCCUUGGGAAAGUACUACUGGAAGUCUGUAGUGGUUGCUUUCAGUGAAGGAGAGUCUGGACUGCGAGCUUACUACUGGAAUACCUUCUGGGCACCACAAAAUGUGGUUACUGCUCUUAAAAAAAUAACCCCAGUGGAACAAAAAGAAAUCAGUAGUAAACAAGCAGCUCACGUGUUCAGUUCUUCUGGGGAGGAAGAUUUUGAUCUCGUUACAAUGGAGCUUUUUGGUAACAAUGUACCUGUCAUUUAA
rnacentral:lncRNA from 1 species